UGAUUUUCAGAGACAGAUAAAUGAAACACUUCACUAUUUGAGGACACCACAUAGCUUUUCCUUGUGCGCUGUUCUGUUAUUUAAAUUUUAAGUCCUAGAAGCCUAUAAAUUGCAGUAGUUCUGUUUUCUAUUUUUAAUCUCAUGGACUGUCAGAAAAAUUCAAUUAAACACAGUUUUAGAGAAAAAAUUAUGUACAAAUAGUAAAAGAUAUUAAAUGGUGUUACUCCUUAAAACUGGUUUUACUUCUUGCCUCAAAAUUUCAGCAUUUUAUGAAUAUUAAGUAAUAAGAAGCUUUUCCUUUGUAUACAUAUUUAUAAUGAUAUUGGACUUUUCAAAUUUACUUUAAAAUAGAAAUAACUACAAAUAUUUUAACACAGCAUCAUAUGAAGUAUACAAUAAAAGGUAAGAAAUACUUUCUGGGUGAUAUGUGUGUAUCGUGAACACUUCUAUAAAGCCAUACUAAGUGUAAAUCCUUGUGUGUGAAGUAUUUGGUUAAAGAGUGUGUUAUUGUUCUCAUUGCUAAUAAUUUUAAAAACUAGUCAAUUAUUAAUAAUUCAGUACAUUUUCAUUGGAUCCAAACAAUCACCACCCUUCUGCCACAGCCGUGUGCCUGUGUUAAGAAGCUUAACGUUUAUUUGUUAAGAAGAAAAACUGCCGACUGUCCAUAGGUGCUCAGGCAUGGAAAUAUUUUGUGAAAUAUGUCAUAAAAGUUGCUUUGAACUGGAACCAAAUAUAACUUUAUCUCUACAAAAUUCUCAAAAAUUCACUGUUUCUAAAUGUGAUUGUAGUAAACAGUUCAGUCUUAUAUAUGAUUAUUUGCAGAUUUUUGAAUAGAAUGAAGAAUUUUAGAUCUGUUUUAACUUUAAUCACUACAUUAUGGUACACUUAAACUAUAUUGUUCAUUUCGGUGACUGUUCUACUCAUGUCUUAAUAGAUAUUUAAUGAUACUAUUGAGAUAAUUUAAAUAUGACUAAAUAUGGGCCUAUAUAAUUUUUUAAAUGAAUUUGGCAUAUUUAGAUGUUUGGGAAUAUUUUCUUACUGUAUAUGAGGUGAUUAAUUUUUGGCAUAAGUUCAUGUUUAUAUCAUAAAUCUUACAUUAUUUUUUUUUUUACCAGAUAAUGUAUUGGAAGUGUUACAAUAGUAGUUCUUUAUAUCAAAAUUUUAAAGUUAUGACCAAGGAUUUAAGUGUAUGACUUUAUCAGAUAUGUGAAUUUGAUUGUUGGAAAACAUAUGCAUUGACUUUUUCUAAAAACUUUAAUACAGACAUAAUUUAGAAAUAGUUAGCAUUUAGCACUGCUUUGAAUCCAGUUAAUACCUGGUGGUACCUGGUAGAGCUAUAACUCAGAACUAGAAAUGAAGACCAUUAUGUUAGAUUUCCACCUAUCUGUGUUUGAAAUUACUAUUAUACAUCAUUUAAAAAGUGACAAAUAUGCAAGUAAUUAUUUCAAUAGCUAAGGUGGAAAAAUACAUUGCCAUAAGGUAAAACUAAUGUUUCUUGUUAUUAGUACUUAUAAUGUUUCAAAUAGUUUGAGAUUUUGGUGUGAUUUAGUGAUUAUCCCUAAAAAAUUAGUGGCAUAAUUUGCAGCAAAUAUUAUUUUAUGUUCUUUUCUGGUGUCUGAUUCAUGACUUGAUUAUCGUAUGUAGAGCCUUAGGGGUUGUUUAAAAAUGAUUGAUUAGCAAGACUAAAUCCAAGUUUGUCUGAUGAUGAAUAGACAUAAUUGAAAAUAGAUGAUUUUCGUCUUCUGAAUUCUUAAAUGUCCCAAUAAAAUAAUAAGGAUUUAAACUUUGAAAAUGCCCUUUAACUUUUGUUUUUAUAUUUACUAAGACAAUUUUACUGUUCAUAUCCUUGAAUUAUUCCAUGUGUAUGCAUACACAUAUAUUUAUAUAUGAAUGCCUUUGAGUGCUUGCUGUAUAAAAAUUCUGUACAAUGGUAGCUAACUCUUAUGAAAGUAGGAUUUCAUUAAUUAUAUAUUAAAUGUUUUGGGUUUAAUGUAUACUUUAUUCUUAUGGGAAUUAUCUCGAGGUAUGAGAAUCAAAUAUUGUCAUUGUUGGUAAUUUCUUAAAAUUAUAUUUGUUUGGCAAAAUAUUUUAAUUAUGGUAUGUCACUAGCUUUUUUUUCUUUAAAAUUUUUGAAUGGUCAAGUUAGCUAAAUGUAUUCUGUUGGAAACCUUAAUCCUUCCUCAGGGUGGAGAGCGUCAUUGCAUUCACAGUACAUGAUUUUUCAUAAAUCAUCAAAUACCAUAUUCAGAUUGUAUCAGCGUGACCCUUCUUCAGGAAGGUUUUAUUAUUGAAACGCUUCUGAAGUAGAUAUCCCGAGACAGGAUUAGGAGCAGGGUGUGUGAGUCGGUAAGGCAGACAGUGGUAGAGUUGGACCUCAGUCUUAUUUUGUUGUCUAUUUUGGGAUGUGUGCUUAUAGGGUUUACUUAAUUAAGUAUCAAGAAUGAUGUUUCUAACGUAAGUUUUAAAUAAUUUUAUAGAUUUUACAAUGUAUUGAUUGGUCUUUAUGGGAUUGUUUAUUUUAAAUAUUUGAAAACAUCAGGUUUAUGUCUUAAUUGAAUUUCCUCGUGAUGUAGGUAUCAAGCAUGAUUUGGGUUUUAAUGAGGCUGACCAUGGUGCUGAAGCAUAUUGUUUGGAGGAUUGUACUUUUAGAUAGGGUUAAUACCUUUGGAAACAAAAAACAUUUCUUCUUGUGCUAUGAUUGAAAGAAAUAUUGUAAAAGGAAAAUAUUGCUAGAUUUAUGCAAAUUUGGAGUCAUUUGUAGUGUGUUUUUUGUGUUUAUGAUAAAAUAUUAUUAAAUAUAUAUUUGUGUUAUAAUGAGUAAAGCUAAUUGUAAUAUUAGCAAUUUAUAUAAAUUACAUGUAUCUUUCUCUCUGCCCCAAAGCAUGGAAUACCAAAUUGUAGACAGAAAUAUUUGUGAUCUUACCAAGGUAUUUCUUUUUAAUAACAGAACCAGAAACAGUGAAACCGAGAUCGCUAAAGCUAUUGUUUUAAUCUUCUCUACAUCUCAUAGUUUCAGAUAGACUGUUAAAGAAAAAUGGAAAUUUAUGCUUUGACUGUGUUACUAUUUUUUACCUCCAUAUUAUAGUGACCUGGUUGAUCAUUUCCUGCAAUUUGACUAUUUUCCCCUCAGUUUAUAAUGAGUUGCAUUUUUCAAAGUCUGCUAGUUUAUCAAUUCUAA